ACGAACGCUGGCGGCGUGCUUAACACAUGCAAGUCGAACGGUGAAGGGAUCAGCUUGCUGGUUCUGGAUGAGUGGCGAACGGGUGAGUAACACGUGAGUAACCUGCCCCCUUCUUCUGGAUAACCGCAUGAAAGUGUGGCUAAUACGGGAUAUUCUGGGUCUGUCGCAUGAUGGGUCUGGGAAAGAUAUUGUUUCGGUGGGGGAUGGGCUCGCGGCCUAUCAGCUUGUUGGUGGGGUGAUGGCCUACCAAGGCGGUGACGGGUAGCCGGCCUGAGAGGGUGGACGGUCACACUGGGACUGAGACACGGCCCAGACUCCUACGGGAGGCAGCAGUGGGGAAUAUUGCACAAUGGGCGCAAGCCUGAUGCAGCGACGCCGCGUGAGGGAUGGAGGCCUUCGGGGUGUAAACCUCUUUCGCCAGUGAAGCAGGCCUGCUCCUUGUGGGUGGGUUGACGGUAGCUGGAUAAGAAGCGCCGGCUAACUACGUG
rnacentral:rRNA from 1 species